ensembl:lncRNA
UGGAGAAGCUUUUGGAACGGGAGAGGUGACAGGAGGAGCAGAAGAGGCUGCUGGAGGAGGAGCAGCUGCUGGACCAAGUGGAGGAGCUGCUGGAACAGGAGAGGCUGCGGGAGCAGGAUCAGAGGCUGUGGGAGCAGGAGACACUGCGGGAGCUGGAGAGGCUGCGGGAGCUGGAGAGGAUGCUGGAGCUGGGGUGGGAAGCCCUCUACGAGCAGCAGGCGGAGCCACACAGCAGCUUCGAGGAGCUGAACAACGAGAACAAGAGUGCACUGCAGUUGGAGCCGCAAGUAAAGGAGCUGAAGAAGCUGGGCGAGCUGAAAGACACGGAGCACCUGGAAGCUACCAGCCAGCAGAAACAGCAGCUAAAGCCCUGUUGAGCCUCAGGAUCUUCUCCCUGGGGAAGGUACGGGAGACCACACGGAGGAAGAGGCGAGAGCCCCGGGAGGAAAGGGCGACUGUUAGCAGCAUAGGAUUGAGGAGUUGGAAGAGACCUUUAAGACAGCUGGUCAUUAUGCCGAACGGGUGUCCGUGCUAAGUUCGGUAUCAAUAUGGUGACCUCCUGGGAGCAGGAGGCCAUCAGGUUGCCUAAGGACAGGAGAACUGGCCCAGGUCAGAAAGGGAGCAGGUCAGGUCUCCGGCACCAAUCGGUAGUGGGACUGUGCCUGGGCAAUAUAGCAAGAUCUUGGUUCUUAAAAGUAAAAAUAAAGAACAGCUCAUUCCCCUCUGGGAAUGGGCUGAUUCAGGGUUACACAGUGAGGGUGGGGGCAGAGGUGGGCCCCCAGUACUUCCCUUGUUGGGUUGUCUGAGGACCCCUCUGGCCAAUCCCUAGAGGAGAUGGAGGAGGACAUCUGGACAGUGAGGAGGAGGAGGCACCUCAGCCCAUGCAGGACAUCCCAGAGGACCGGGAGAGCCGGGAGGUCAGGUGAGCCUGACUUUCCCUGCCCCUACUUUGUCACCUUCCUCGGCGGUCCCUCCCAGAUCCCCUUAUGUUCUUGGUUUCCCUGCCUUCUGAUUUCUGUGGACUUUCACUCCUUCCGGGAGCCAGUGGUCAAACACCAUUUCACCUGUGACCAACAGGUGCACACUCUGAGCCCCAAGGGAAGGGGCUGCGCUCCACCUCCCUGCCCCGGUUGUUCUGUGUGUGUCCCUACAAGAAUACUCACCUCUUGCCUUCAGGUGGCAUUUUUCAACUUCGCUGGAGCCAAUGCCCAGGAAGAGCAAAUGGUAUGCUGGCAGCCCCUGGUUCACCCAGUGGCUUCAUCCCAGAGGACCCCAGGGACUGGGGAGCGACUUUAUGGAGGACAAAGUGGACCUGAAGGAACCAGUGGAGUAACUGGAGCUUCGAUUCAUCCACCUCUUGGGACAGACAUCAUAAGUGAGCGGGAAGCCAGGGUACGGCAGGGGGAGCUGCUGGGCCGUCAGAGGGGCCCCAGCCUCUGA